rnacentral:misc_RNA from 1 species
GGCUGAAAACCUGAAUUUGAAACUCUUCCAACAUGCCAAAUUUGCAAGAAGAAUAUACCCCCUUUGGCAUGAACAGCAUCUACAAUGGGUUUCCACGCCUCAACUUGUUCUUUGGUCCAAAUACCAGGAGUAUCGGUAUACCCUUGAGCAGUGUCAGAAACUCCCGUUGCUUCAGCUAUAAGAAGACCCCCUUUGGUGGUUCUUUGAGAGUAAUACAAGAUGGCAUGUGGCUGAGGAACGUUGUUGUAAGAUCUCUGCCUGGUUAAUGGUGCUAGAACAAUUCUGUGAGAAAGGUCGAACUUCCCCAACUUGUAUGGUGUGAGAAGAGGAAUAGUGUGGGAUUGAGCAGACAUGUUAGUAUUGUUCGAGUUCUACUUGCUUAACUUUAGUUUUCGAAGCCAAUGGAAUAUAGAAUGGAGAAGGCGAGCAGGGGAAGUGGGCAUAUUUAAAGAAUCAAAUCAGAGAACAGACAAGCCUGUGAUGGCUUCACGAUGUAAAAAGCACAUGAAAG